rnacentral:rRNA from 1 species
GACGAACGCUGGCGGCGUGCCUAACACAUGCAAGUCAACGAGAAAGGGUAGCAAUAUCCUGAGUAAAGUGGCGCACGGGUGAGUAACACGUAGGUAAUCUGCCAUCAGGACGGGGACAACCACGCGAAAGCGUAGCUAAUACCCGAUGAAUCAGCGAUGCCGCAUGGCAUUGCUGUUAAAUACCGCAAGGUGCCCGAUGAUGAACCUGCGUCCCANAGGUAGUUGGUGAGGUAACGGCUCACCAAGCCGACGAUGGGUAGCUGGUCUGAGAGGAUGAUCAGCCACACUGGAACUGAGCACGGCCCAGACUCCUACGGGAGGCAGCAGUGGGGAAUCUUGCGCAAUGGGCGAAAGCCUGACGCAGCGACGCCGCGUG